rnacentral:rRNA from 1 species
UAGGGAAUCUUCCACAAUGGACGCAAGUCUGAUGGAGCAACGCCGCGUGAGUGAAGAAGGUUUUCGGAUCGUAAAGCUCUGUUGUUGGUGAAGAAGGAUAGAGGCAGUAACUGGUCUUUAUUUGACGGUAAUCAACCAGAAAGUCACGGCUAACUACGUGCCAGCAGCCGCGGUAAUACGUAGGUGGCAAGCGUUGUCCGGAUUUAUUGGGCGUAAAGCGAGCGCAGGCGGAAUGAUAAGUCUGAUGUGAAAGCCCACGGCUCAACCGUGGAACUGCAUCGGAAACUGUCAUUCUUGAGUGCAGAAGAGGAGAGUGGAAUUCCAUGUGUAGCGGUGGAAUGCGUAGAUAUAUGGAAGAACACCAGUGGCGAAGGCGGCUCUCUGGUCUGCAACUGACGCUGAGGCUCGAAAGCUUGGGUAGCGAACAGG